rnacentral:rRNA from 1 species
UAGGGAAUCUUCCACAAUGGACGCAAGUCUGAUGGAGCAACGCCGCGUGAGUGAAGAAGGUUUUCGGAUCGUAAAGCUCUGUUGUUGGUGAAGAAGGAUAGAGGCAGUAACUGGUCUUUAUUUGACGGUAAUCAACCAGAAAGUCACGGCUAACUACGUGCCAGCAGCCGCGGUAAUACGUAGGUGGCAAGCGUUGUCCGGAUUUAUUGGGCGUAAAGCGAGCGCAGGCGGAAUGAUAAGUCUGAUGUGAAAGCCCACGGCUCAACCGUGGAACUGCAUCGGAAACUGUCAUUCUUGAGUGCAGAAGAGGAGAGUGGAACUCCAUGUGUAGCGGUGGAAUGCGUAGAUAUAUGGAAGAACACCAGUGGCGAAGGCGGCUCUCUGGUCUGCAACUGACGCUGAGGCUCGAAAGCAUGGGUAGCGAACAGGAUUAGAUACCCUGGUAGUCCAUGCCGUAAACGAUGAGCGCUAGGUGUUGGGGACUUUCCGGUCCUCAGUGCCGCAGCAAACGCAUU